UACCCUGGUCAUUUCAUUAGCUCACAGU
rnacentral:piRNA from 1 species